UCAGUGACUUGUACAUUCAGCAGUAGCA
rnacentral:piRNA from 1 species